rnacentral:rRNA from 1 species
GAUGAACGCUAGCGAUAGGCUUAACACAUGCAAGUCGAGGGGCAACAUGGUCUUAGCUUGCUAAGACUGAUGGCGACCGGCGCACGGGUGCGUAACGCGUAUGCAACUUGCCUCACAGAGGGGGAUAACACGUCGAAACACAGACUAAUACCGCGUACACUCCACCUUGUGCAUGCAAGGUAGUGGCAACGGAAUUCGCUGUACGAUCGGCAUGCCGGCCAUUUGCUAGUUGGUGAGGUAACGGCUCACUAAGCGGACGAUCGGUAGGGGAACUUAGAGGGGGAACCCCGAGAGUGGUACUGGGAAACGGGCCAGAGUCAUACGGGAGGGAGCAGUAAGGAAGAUAGGUCAAGGGGAGAGAGCAUGAACGGGCCAAGUCGGGUGAAGGAUGACUGUCUGAGGGAUUGUAGCCUUCUUGUAUAAGGGAAUAACAGGAGGCAAGGGUGAGUCCCUGCAGGUACCGUAUGAAGAAGCAUCGGCUAACUACGUG